UAACUUAGACUGGUUCCGCCUCGGGCUUUUUGAAUGUCCGUACCUAAUCCUAAGAACUAACAAGUACUGAGUAGAGGGUUACUGUUACCUCCUGCUUCUUACUAUAGUAUUUUGGGCUCCUGUUAGUGCAGCCUAAAAUUGCACUUGCUUUUUCAUAUUGCUGGCUCAUGUUGAAUCUGAGAUCUACCAAAAUGUCCAAAACCAUUCGCAGCAACACUACUGCCUAAUUAGAAAUCUCUUAUUGUGAACUUGUACACUUAUUUUAUGUAGGGAAGCUUAAACACCUUACUUUUUGUCUUUGUUGAACUUGACUGAGUCAUCUUCUGUUCAUUCUCCAGCCUGUCAAGGUUCUUUAGAAUUUUACCUAUUCCUUCAAAGUGUUGAAAAGCCUUUCCAGCUUUGUCAUCCACAAACUUGAUCAGGGAAGUUCUCUCUUACAUUGAAAUCAUUAAUAAAAAUGUUAAAUAACAUCAGACCCAGAAUACACCCCUGUGGAACCGGACUUGAAACCUCCUACUAUUUUGACAUUGAUACAAUUACUCUAUGUUUGUAAUCAUAGGCAAGAAGCAAUCAGAAAAUCAUUUAAUUCUAGUCUGCCCACUUAUUGUAGGCUAUGUCAUGGCUGCCUCUAACAGUAGGAGAUUCAGCUCGGUGGGCCAGGAAGUCUGUUCCAGUCUAAUCUUCUGUGUUCCAACGUAAUUCAAUACUUUGGGAUUCUUCAGGAUGAAAGGUACUGAGCAUAGUUUGUGAAUCUGCUGGCUACAUCUGUGGUUUUUCAGCUGACUCUGUCUACAGAUUUCCAUCUAGCGUGAAUUGAAAUAGACUUAUUCAGACAAUGGAGAUUGGAUCAAGUUCCCACUUGCUAAUGUUUUAAUGGACUGCUCUGUUUCCACAUUAAAGCACUUGGUUGGUA